UUGACAGGGUAAUGUGCCUUAUCUGUCACCAAUAUUUGCAUCAAUAUAAAAUUUAAAUGAUUAAGCGUACUAGUGCACAACGAACUGAAAUGUUUUGAUUUUCGAAGUAUUAUAGCAUAUAUUUGCGUUCGGCCAUAUACUUGACAAGUAUUCUUCUUUAUUCGACAAGUUGUCUAAUCAAUCUGGUUCAAAAGGUUCACGUUGAGCAUCACAGUGUCAUGAUUAUUUUCGCAUUUUGCAUUACUUUUACAUUAUCAUUAAAGUAUAAGAAGAAUAGCUAAAUCACAGAGAAAAUAAAAGAGAAAAUUUAGCUGAACUUUGCGAAGAACAUCCCGAGGUAAAGAAGCCAUUAAAAAUGAAAGAUGCUUCUGGAAGUCCCAGAAUGGAGAAAAGUCAACCUGGUAUAUUAGAGGCAAUUGUAAAUCUAGCUACGCAUGGAUCAGCGGCAUACGAACGAUGACAAGAAGAAUCUCUAAGGAGCAUCAAGUCUCUUCAACAGCUUACUACUGUAUUAAGGUUUGAAGGUUUUGUAUUGAGUAAAAGUGCUCUAUAUUUGCGUUUACUACCUAAAAGCAGUUUUUCUUCGGAGGGAAAAAAGCACACCCGCCCCUGAGAGACUAAUAAAAGCUUUAAAAAAUUAAGAACUUUAAACGGCAUUUUUGAAAGCAACCAUAAAUCAUCUGGAAGAAAUAGCGUCAAUUCUCGGACCUAACGAAGUUUCCCUUUUGAGCCAAGAUGACAAAUCUUCAUCCCUAUAGGUUUAACAGCAGCAAAUCAUCAAUCUCCUAUUGUCAUGCACGUCGAAUACAAAGUCUGUUCGCUCUAUUUGCUUAUACUUUUGUGAUGUUACCGUAACAUGGUGACACAUUUUAAUUUUAUUUUUAUUAUUAUUUUUUAAAUGUAUACUUUAGAUAGUUUUAGUAGGUAGCUUUGGUUAACAACUUUUAUGUUUAACCCAUUUUUUACCAAUGAUUAUGAUGCGAAAACGCAACAGUCAUAUUAAUUUUUUUUUAAUAAUAUAAAGAGAAUAAAAAAUGAAAUAUCUAACGUUACUAUAGUAUUUACUAAGGUUGAAUUAAAAAGAUUUUUAAGACACUCAAUAAAGAAACCAGUGUUUUGA